rnacentral:misc_RNA from 1 species
UUGAAUACAGGUUGUUGCUGGCCUUUGAGGGCAUGUGCAUGCAUCAUAUUGGGACUGCUAUGCUUUAUGUUUAGUUUGGCUUUCCCUUUUUAUUAUUAUAAUCACAUUAAAAUGUUGAAUGUAUAAAAGAAAUGAAAUAUAUA